rnacentral:lncRNA from 7 species
CUGUGGGUUUGCUUUUUUUCAGAGGAGAGGAGCAGACGCUUCUCACAUCCAGCAGUUCACACUGCAAGGAGCAGUUCCUCUGUUUCUGGAUGCGACGGCUGUUCAUUCUCUCAGCCCUUCCACCUGCAGGGAGGUGCCAUAUCCGUUACUCUGAGGAUUUGUUUCAGAAGCGGCCGCGUUUUGUUUGGCUGCAGCUCCGAAGUGGUGAGAUGAGAGCUCCUCCCUGGGACUGCUUUCCGCAGUGCCCCCUAUUGAAAAGCUGAACUUGAUGGAUGUGCGGCAGCACAGCUUGGAGGUGUUGGAUGAGUGGCCUAACAGAGGGGAGCAGCAAAGAAGCUAUCAAGCAUGGAAGUGAAGAGCUUAGGGCUGACCAAAGCUCAGUGCAGGGAAAGGGUGCUGGGAGGCGGAGCGGCUCUGCUGGCUGUCAGUCCUCAGGGUGGCUGCGCUCUGCAGUGCUGCAUGGCAGGGAUGGAUCCUGCGAGUGAUGGAAGCUCUGUGUUUCUCAUGGGAGGUAUGAAAGCAUUUCAAUAUGCAGUCAAAUACAUGUAGAUAAUUUGUUUUUAUGGCAAUGUGUAGAAUGCAAAAUAUUUAUACUUUCUAGAGUUACAAAAAUCUGUAGUGUUAAUUCUGCAGAGGAUAUGUUUACAUUUUCCAAUUUAAUUCUUUCAUUUGUAUUUUGCUAACUGGGGAGAAUGUCUGUAAUUUGGUAAUGCAGAAUAACAAAGGGCUGCAGAAUCUUGCAG